rnacentral:rRNA from 1 species
UACGAAGGGGGCUAGCGUUGCUCGGAAUCACUGGGCGUAAAGCGCACGUAGGCGGAUCUUUAAGUCAGGGGUGAAAUCCCAAGGCUCAACCUUGGAACUGCCUUUGAUACUGGGGAUCUCGAGUCCGGAAGAGGUUGGUGGAACUGCGAGUGUAGAGGUGAAAUUCGUAGAUAUUCGCAAGAACACCAGUGGCGAAGGCGGCCAACUG